rnacentral:rRNA from 1 species
GAUGAACGCUGGCGGCGUGCCUAAUACAUGCAAGUCGAGCGAACGGACGAGAAGCUUGCUUUUCUGAUGUUAGCGGCGGACGGGUGAGUAACACGUGGAUAACCUACCUAUAAGACUGGGAUAACUUCGGGAAACCGGAGCUAAUACCGGAUAAUAUUUUGAACCGCAUGGUUCAAAAGUGAAAGACGGUCUUGCUGUCACUUAUAGAUGGAUCCGCGCUGCAUUAGCUAGUUGGUAAGGUAACGGCUUACCAAGGCAACGAUGCAUAGCCGACCUGAGAGGGUGAUAGGCGACACUGGAACUGAGACACGGUCCAGACUCCUACGGGAGGCAGCAGUAGGGAAUCUUCCGCAAUGGGCGAAAGCCUGACGGAGCAACGCCGCGUGAGUGAUGAAGGUCUUCGGAUCGUAAAACUCUGUUAUUAGGGAAGAACAUAUGUGUAAGUAACUGUGCACAUCUUGACGGUACCUAAUCAGAAAGCCACGGCUAACUACGUG